AUGAAUGCAAGGAUGCUCUAUUUAGAGGUCCGACCCAUAUCAUUUCACCCUGUGUGUAGACUUCGGUCUCGCACUAUUUUUACACACAAAGUCUCAGAAUGUAACAAGUCUCGUAAUUGAGCAUGAAAGUAACA
rnacentral:misc_RNA from 1 species